rnacentral:rRNA from 13 species
AAGCGAUACGCGAGCUGGGUUAAUAGCGUCCUGCGGCAGUUUCUAGCCAAUGGUCCGAUCUUCUUGCCGCAGUUGACGCUAUCUUCAGCCGCCACAAGAGGACAUUGG